rnacentral:rRNA from 1 species
GAGCCUGCGUUUGAUUAGCUAGUUGGUGGGGUAAAGGCCUACCAAGGCGAUGAUCAAUAGCUGGUUUGAGAGGAUGAUCAGCCACACUGGGACUGAGACACGGCCCAGACUCCUACGGGAGGCAGCAGUGGGGAAUAUUGGACAAUGGGGGCAACCCUGAUCCAGCAAUGCCGCGUGUGUGAAGAAGGUCUUCGGAUUGUAAAGCACUUUCGACGGGGACGAUGAUGACGGUACCCGUAGAAGAAGCCCCGGCUAACUUCGUGCCAGCAGCCGCGGUAAUACGAAGGGGGCUAGCGUUGCUCGGAAUGACUGGGCGUAAAGGGCGUGUAGGCGGUUUGUACAGUCAGAUGUGAAAUCCCCGGGCUUAACCUGGGAGCUGCAUUUGAUACGUGCAGACUAGAGUGUGAGAGAGGGUUGUGGAAUUCCCAGUGUAGAGGUGAAAUUCGUAGAUAUUGGGAAGAACACCGGUGGCGAAGGCGG